rnacentral:tRNA from 1 species
UGGGGCGUCGCCAAGUGGUAAGGCAACGGGUUUUGGUCCCGGCAUUCGGAGGUUCGAAUCCUUCCGUCCCAG